GUCGAGAAUCUUGGGCAAUGCGCGAAAGCGUGACCCAGCAAUGCCGCGAGUAUGAUGAAGGCCCUCGGGUCGUAAAGUACUGUCUCCCGUGACGAAAAAUGACGGUAGCGGGGAAGGAAGCCACGGCUAACUACGUGCCAGCAGCCGCGGUAAUACGUAGGUGGCGAGCGUUGUUCGGAUUUAUUGGGCGUAAAGGGUCUGUAGGAGGUUUGUUAAAUACGGGGUGAAAUCCCGAAGCUCAACUUCGGAAUUGCCUUGUAGACUGACGGACUGGAGUACCGGAGAGGUAAGCAGAAUACCAGGUGUAGCGGUUGAAUGCGUAGAUAUCUGGUAGAACACCAAGAGCGAAGGCAGCUUGCUGGACGGAAACUGACUCUGAAAGACGAAAGCAUGGGGAGCAAACAGGAUUAGAAACCCGAGUAGUCC
rnacentral:rRNA from 1 species